rnacentral:lncRNA from 1 species
CAUUUAAAUUUAGCACUUAAAUAAUUUUUGUUGAGAAUAAAAUUCAUCAUAAGUUUAAUAACGUAGAUUGGGCAUCCAUGCUGGAGCAUCUUUAUUUAAUUGUGCUGCUGGCAUUUGUUGGGGUUUAUUUGCUCUCAAAAUUCUAUUUAAAAAGUCUUUGGAAAAAUGUUUUGGAAAAGAAUUGAAAAAAAAAAUAAAAAGAAAAGGAGAGGAGCCCCUGGAAAUCAGGCCGCAGCCCAGCCAAACCCCCCCUCUCCCCUCCCUUCUCGGCUGGGCUUGGCCCAGUUUUUUUCCCCCUCGGCCCAGUUUCCCCCGCAGCCAGCCGAGCGGCCCAGCUCGCCAGGCAGCGGCGCUCUCUCUCUUCCCUCUCUGGCCGAGAGCUGGGGCCGUUCCCUUCUCUCACCGACAGCUGGGCCCCACGCGUCAGCCUCCUCUCUCACCUUCUUUCUUCUCCAGCGCGUCACCGAGCCGAGG